rnacentral:rRNA from 1 species
UACGGGGGAUGCAAGCGUUAUCCGGAAUUAUUGGGCGUAAAGGGUCCUGAGGUGGCUAGCCAAGUCUAUUGUGAAAUAUCAGGGCUUAACCCUGAACAUGCGGUGGAAACUAGAAAGCUUGAGUACAGUAGGGGCGGAGGGAAUUUCCGGUGGAGCGGUGAAAUGCAUAGAUAUCGGGAAGAACACCAACGGCGAAAGCACUCCGCUGGGCUGAUACUGACACUGACAGACGAAAGCUAGGGUAGCGAACGGG